rnacentral:rRNA from 1 species
UACGUAGGAGGCGAGCGUUGUCCGGAAUCACUGGGCGUAAAGCGCGUGUAGGCGGGAAGGCAAGUCUGCUGUGAAAGCGCCUGGCUUAACCGGGCGAGGUCGGCGGAAACUGCUUACCUGGAGGACGGUAGAGGAGUGUGGAAUUCCUGGUGUAGCGGUGGAAUGCGCAGAUAUCAGGAGGAACACCGGUGGCGAAGGCGGGUCUCUGGGCAGUAACUGACGCUGAGGAGCGAAAGCGUGGGGAGCGAACAGG